GCCCGUGGUGCAUUGGCGUUGCUGGUGGAAUAGAUUUGUAAGUCGGGCCAGGGCGGACGCAGGAAACCUCUCCGCCGAGAUGAAGUCUACCGGCGGUGGACUUCUUGGGGGCGCCAAGGGCCGAGUGCUCGCCCUACUCGGCCCUGCAAGCACCGUACCGGCGCGGCCUGCGCCCUUCGUGAGCAGCCACUGCGAAAGCGACUCCCAGCAACCACACACCUCAGCUGUGACUGAGGUGUCACAGCCAGGCGACACCUCAGUCUCUGCAGCCUCAGCACCUCAGCA